rnacentral:rRNA from 1 species
UACGUAGGUGGCUAGCGUUGUCCGGAUUUACUGGGCGUAAAGAGCGCGCAGGCGGUCGUUCAAGUCGAGUGUGAAAGCCCCCGGCUCAACUGGGGAGGGUCACUCGAUACUGGAUGACUAGAGGACCGGAGAGGAUAGUGGAAUUCCCAGUGUAGUGGUGAAAUACGUAGAGAUUGGGAAGAACACCAGUGGCGAAGGCGGCUAUCUGGACGGUUUCUGACGCUAAGACGCGAAAAGCGUGGGGAGCAAACAGG